rnacentral:lncRNA from 1 species
GAAGAAGGAAGAAGGAAGAAGAAGGAAGGAAGGAAGGAAGGAAGGAAGGAAGGAAGGAAGGAAGGAAGGAAGGAAGGAAGGAAGGAAGGAAGGAAGGAAGGAAGGAAGGAAGGAAGGAAGGAAGGAAGGAAGGACAGAGGGAGGAAGGAAGGGAAGAAGGGAAGAAGGGAGGGAGGGAGGUUUUGUAGGUAUUUGAAAUGACUCUCAUUUUAUGGCCUGGACAAAGACCACAUGAACACUUUCAGGAAGACUUGUGGAGAAAAGGCAAGGAAAUU